rnacentral:other from 1 species
CAAAUGCUCUAUACGGGUAUUUAUUUUGUUCCUACAUCUUGAUUAAUAGGGAAAGAUGACUCUAAUAACAAUGCAGUAGACCUGCCAAGUAGCAGGAAACGGAUUUGUUAAGGCACUUACCCACCUGUGGAGCAUUCACAGGUAACAAAAUCGUACUUGUAUAGGGCUUUUUU